GCUAACAACAAAUAAAUAAAUGAAAAAAAAAAUUAAUAUUUUCAUAUCAGCUAGUCAUUCUUCACAUUUUUCACAUACGGACACGAUGAUUAACGAAAUCAGUACAAUAUUACACCUGCCUCUGUUAAGCAUGCUCUCUCCAUUAUUCCAUGGUGGAGAUGCACUAAAUUAUUGAUGUCCAGUUAAAAUGAUGUAAAUAUUUAAUGAUGUCGUGAUGGACGAGAUUACUAUCGAAGAAUACCGAUAGUGCGAUAAGAUCAAAACAAAGACGAAUAUCGUAAAUGUUAAAUAGAGUAUAAAGAAAUCUCAAAAUAUGGAACGCAACAAUUGUAACAAGAACAACGAAACGUUUGCAAGUAUCUUGAUAAAAUAGAUGAAAAUUUUCAAUUAAUCAUUGUAAUUUUCAGAUCUCAAAAUCGUAUCAAACUGCGGGCUAACGUUAAAAUAAAAGAGGAAACUUAAAUUGAAUUGGCGUAGAUUUGGCAUAAUAAAAGAACCCCAAUCCUGCCCAAUUAAUAUAUUUGAUACUAACUUGAAAGCAGUUCUUUUUUCAACUUUGCCAAUCGAGGUUCAGGUUAUCUUCAAUCAACAGUGAAACGAAGUGCAACUUUUGCAGUGAAAGCUUUCCAAAUUUGGAUAAAUGAAUCUUAAUUAUUUAACUUGCUUUUAACAUUCGCAAUAAAAAUUAAUGCCUUUGUGUAGUUUUCA